AUCUUAUUCGCCCAAUCAGGUACCUGUAAUAAUUUCACGGGUAAAAGGGAAUCCGGUUAAAAUCCGGAACGGGCCCACCGCUGUAAAGGGGGACGAACGCCAGAGAAUGCCACUGUGAACAACUCAUGGGAAGGCCUGGCAAGUAGGAAGAUCCAUAAGUCAGAAGACCUGCCUGAUAAAAAUGGUACGC
rnacentral:ncRNA from 2 species